rnacentral:tRNA from 1 species
GGGGAUAUAGCUCAGCUGGGAGAGCAGCAGACUGAAGUCAAGAAGUUUCUUUCUGUUGUUCUGAAGGUCCCGCGUUCGAUCCGUGGUAUCCCCA